UGCAGGAAUAAACCAGCAGAUCGUGGCACUCCAUCCACAGCCAUUCCCCUACCCGGGGAAUAGGAGGACAAUCAACUUUAGAAUGAGGCCAUGUAACUGACAGUGUUUUCACUCCUCCUCAUUCCAUUUGCAUGAUGACUUCUUUCUGGAACUGAGGGUGGAAGUCAAGCCAAAGAAGAACAUUUGCUUGGACUGGGAGCGGCUCUACACUCCGGCCAAACUAGGGGACCAGCUAAGGGGGGGAAAAGAGCACUGUCUGCAAUAGAAAGGAACAGAUUGCAUGGAGAACAGUGAGUGGAAAAGGUUUUGAGAGUGACUCCUUGAAGGAUUGAUAAGGGAGCAACUGGCACGGAUAGUAGAAAUGGUAACCUGUGGAGCUCAGAAGCUGCUGUGCCUCAUAGCUCUUGCUGUCCUGCCAUUUGAAUGGUUUUUGCCUGUGGUCACUGCUCAGCAAGAUCCUCAAGAUCCAACAGG